rnacentral:rRNA from 1 species
GUGUUUCUUAAGUCUGCUGUGAAAUUUCGCAGCUCAACUACGAAAGUGCAGUGGAAACUGAGAGACUUGAGUACAGAAGAGGGAAGUGGAAUUCCUGGUGUAGCGGUGGAAUGCGUAGAUAUCAGGAAGAACACCGACGGCGAAGGCAGCUUUCUGGUCUGUUACUGACCCUGAGGGACGAAAGCGCGGGUAGCGAACAGGAUUAGAUACCCUGGUAGUCCGUGCCGUAAACGAUGGUCACUAGGUGCCGGAGGAUUCGACCCCUUCGGUGCCGUAGCUAACGUGUUAAGUGACCCGCCUGGGGAGUACGAUCGCAAGGUUGAAACUCAAAGGAAUUGACGGGGGCCCGCACAAGCGGUGGAGCAUGUGGUUUAAUUCGAUGCAACGCGAAGAACCUUACCUGGGCUUGAACUGCAGUGGAAACUUCCUGAAAGGGAAGCCUCCUUCGGGACCGCUGUAGAGGUGCUGCAUGGCUGUCGUCAGCUCGUGUCGUGAGAUGUUGGGUUAAGUCCUGCAACGAGCGCAACCCCUACCGUUAGUUGCCAUCAGGUUAUGCUGGGCACUUUAACGGGACUGCCUGCGUUAAGCAGGAGGAAGGUGGGGAUGACGUCAAGUCCUCAUGGCCCUUACGUCCAGGGCUACACACGUGCUACAAUGGGGAGUACAAAGGGUCGCAAUACCGCGAGGUGGAGCCAAUCCCACAAAACUACCCUCAGUUCGGAUUGCACUCUGCAACUCGAGUGCAUGAAGCCGGAAUCGCUAGUAAUCGUGGAUCAGCACGCCACGGUGAAUACGUUCCCGGGCCUUGUACACACCGCCCGUCACAC